rnacentral:rRNA from 1 species
GAUUUCUGGUUUGACGCACCUGGCCCGCCUCGGUUACGAGUGUGAGUGCCGGCGCGCGUCUGCCAUCCUUCCAGGGAACGGGUCCGACCCUUUACUGGGCUGGGCUCGCGAUCUGGAUCUAUUACUUUGAAAAAAUUAGAGUGUUUAAAGCAGGCGUUUGCCUUGAAUACAUUAGCAUGGAAUAAUAAUUUAGGACUUCGGUUCUAUUUUGUUGGUUUCUAGAGCUGAAGUAAUGAUUGAUAGGGAUAGUUGGGGGUGCUAGUAUUCAGUGGCCAGAGGUGAAAUUCUUGGAUUCACUGAAGACUAACUUAUGCGAAAGCAUU